rnacentral:tRNA from 1 species
GCCUGGGUGGCUCAGUGGGUUGAGCGUCUGACUUCGGCUCAGGUCAUGAUCUCACAGUCUGUGGGUUCAAGCCCCACAUCAGGCU